GACAGAGGGUGCAAACGUUGUUCGGAAUUACUGGGCGUAAAGCGCGUGUAGGCGGCCCUGCAAGUCGGAUGUGAAAUCCCACGGCUCAACCGUGGAAGUGCAUUCGAAACUGCAGGGCUAGAGUCCUGGAGAGGAAGGUGGAAUGCUUGGUGUAGAGGUGAAAUUCGUAGAUAUCAAGCGGAACACCGGUGGCGAAGGCGGCCUUCUGGACAGUGACUGACGCUGAGACGCGAAAGCGUGGGGAGCAAAGC
rnacentral:rRNA from 1 species